GUUACUUUGGCAGAAGAUAUGCGUUAGAUUUAGGAUCUGAUAAUAUAGAAUUUUUGGUCUAUAGGUAAUA
rnacentral:tRNA from 1 species